AGCGAGCGCCAUGACCGUGCUCCCCGCAGGGCCCGAGGAAGGCAGGCGGGGAGGCGAACCCUCUCUUCCUGCUGCUCUUUACCGCCAUCUGCCCUGUUUUGGGGGCCAAGCAGGGGAGCGCUGGCACUUGGAUUCUGUCCGAAUUAUGUGCUGCAAGGCACAGGGCUUGCUUCUUGAGGCCAGAAGGAUCUCAGCAGUCAGUGGCUCGGCCCUUGCCUCUUCCCUCUCAGCCCCCUCCCAGGGGAGCACAGCUCUGCACCCAGCCAGGCCCGCGCUGGCCAGUCAGGCCCCAGGAAGGACCUCUUCUCCUCCUUGAUGGGUGCUGCAAGAAGAGCUCGCCUUGUACAUGCAUCUUUUCUUAUUUUGCUACACUAUCUUUGGAAUAGAUACCUACGCGGGAAAUCCAGGCCAGUGAAGAGAUGCUUAUGCUGUUAUACUUUGCUUAUGGGAUUUCUUGCCAAGGGCUUCCUGGCUGUCCUUGCCUUUUUGUUCUUUUAAAUAAACAAACCUCUAUAAUUUAUAUGAUUAUAUGCCUUAUAAUCAACUUUAC